UGCCGGUUGGUGUAACGGUAGCACGACUGACUCUGGAUCAGUUCGUCAGGGUUCGAAUCCUUGACCGGCAGCCA
rnacentral:tRNA from 1 species